rnacentral:rRNA from 1 species
GCCUGCCCAGUGACCAAAAGUUUAACGGCCGCGGUAUCCUAACCGUGCAAAGGUAGCGCAAUCACUUGUCUUUUAAAUAAAGACCUGUAUGAAUGGCCAAACGAGGGCUUAACUGUCUCCCUUAUCAAGUCAGUAAAAUUGAUCUACCCGUGCAGAAGCGGGUAUAAACAUACAAGACGAGAAGACCCUUUGGAGCUUAAGGUAAAAAUUCACCCACGUCAAGCAGCUUAAUAUACAAAGCAACUCCUUUAUUAUAAACCUUGUGGAUUAUGAAAUAAUACCUUCGGUUGGGGCGACCAUGGAGAAAAAGAAAACCUCCAAGUGGAAUGAGACCACCCCUCAAAACUAAGAGAGACAUCUCUAAGCCACAGAACAUCUGACCAUAAAUGAUCCGGCUAACUAACAGCCGAUCAACGAACCAAGUUACCCCAGGGAUAACAGCGCAAUCCUCUCCAAGAGACCAUAUCGACGAGAGGGUUUACGACCUCGAUGUUGGAUCAGGACAUCCUAAUGGUGCAGCCGCUAUUAAGGG